GACGAACGCUGGCGGCGUGCUUAACACAUGCAAGUCGAACGGUAAGGCCCUUCGGGGUACACGAGUGGCGAACGGGUGAGUAACACGUGGGUGAUCUGCCCUGCACUUCGGGAUAAGCCUGGGAAACUGGGUCUAAUACCGGAUAGGACCACUGCCUGCAUGGGGGGUGGUGGAAAGGUUUUGCGGUGUGGGAUGGGCCCGCGGCCUAUCAGCUUGUUGGUGGGGUGAUGGCCUACCAAGGCGACGACGGGUAGCCGGGCUGAGAGGGUGACCGGCCACACUGGGACUGAGAUACGGCCCAGACUCCUACGGGAGGCAGCAGUGGGGAAUAUUGCACAAUGGGCGCAAGCCUGAUGCAGCGACGCCGCGUGAGGGAUGACGGCCUUCGGGUUGUAAACCUCUUUCAGCACCGACGAAGCGCAAGUGACGGUAGGUGCAGAAGAAGGACCGGCCGACUACGUGCCAGCAGCCGCCGCGG
rnacentral:rRNA from 1 species